rnacentral:rRNA from 1 species
GACGAACGCUGGCGGCGUGCUUAACACAUGCAAGUCGAACGGAAAGGCCCUGCUUGCAGGGUACUCGAGUGGCGAACGGGUGAGUAACACGUGGGUGAUCUGCCCUGCACUUCGGGAUAAGCCUGGGAAACUGGGUCUAAUACCGGAUAGGUGCCAUUUUUAGUGUGAUGGUUGGAAAGUUUUUUCGGUGUUGGCUGAGCUAGCGGCCUAUCAGCUUGUUGGUGGGGUAAUGGCCUACCAAGGCGGCGACGGGUAGCCGGCCUGAGAGGGUGGACGGCCACAUUGGGACUGAGAUACGGCCCAGACUCCUACGGGAGGCAGCAGUGGGGAAUAUUGCACAAUGGGCGCAAGCCUGAUGCAGCGACGCCGCGUGGGGGAUGACGGCCUUCGGGUUGUAAACUCCUGUCGCUAGGGACGAAGCUUUUUGUGACGGUACCUAGAUAAGAAGCACCGGCUAACUACGUG